GACCCACUGGGAAAGUGAUGAAAGAAAUAAAAGCUGAAAUAAAUCAUUCUCUCUACUAUUAUUCUGACAUUUCACAUUCUUAAAAUAAAGUGGUGAUCCUAACUGACCUAAGACAGGGAAUUUUUACUAGGAUUAAAUGUCAGGAAUUGUGAAAAACUGAGUUUAAAUGUAUUUGGCUAAGGUGUAUGUAAACUUCCGAUUUCAACUGUACCUAUAUUAACAUAUUCAUGUUGAAAUAUUAUUGCGCCAUCUGGCCUAUAGGUAUUAACCUGAUCUAUAUGAUAUGCUUGUGGCCUAAAUAGCACCCUUAUUCUUUAUAUAGUGCACUACUUCUGACCAAGGCCUAUAGGUAUUAACCUGAUCUAUAGGAUAUGCCUGUGGCCUAAAUAGCACCCUUAUUCUUUAUAUAGUGCACUACUUCUGACAAAGGCCUAUAGGUAUUAACCUGAUCUAUAGGAUAUGCCUGUGGCCUAAAUAGCACCCUUAUUCCCUAUAUAGUGCACUACUUCUGACCAAGGCCUAUAGGCAUUAACCUGAUCUAUAUGAUAAGUAUUAUGCCUAAAUAGCACCCUUAUUCCCUAUAUAGUGCACUACUUCUGACCAAGGCCUAUAGGUAUUAACCUGAUCUAUAGGAUAUUCUGUGGCCUAAAUAGCACCCUUAUUUUCUAUAUAGUGCACUACUUCUGACCAAGGCCUAUAGGUAUUAACCUGAUCUAUAGGAUAUGCCUCUGGCCUAAAUAGCACCCUUAUUCCCUAUAUAGUGCACUACUUCUGACCAAGGCCUAUAGGUAUUAACCUGAUCUAUAGGAUAUGCUUGUGGCCUAAAUAGCACCCUUAUUCCCUAUAUAGUGCACUACUUCUGACCAAGGCCUAUAGGUAUUAACCUGAUCUGUAUGAUAUACUGUGGCCUAAAUAGCACCCUUAUUCCCUAUAUAGUGCACUACUUCGGACCAAGGACCUAUAGGGCUCUGGUCAAGAGUAGUGCACUCUGUAGGGAAUAGGGUGCCAUUAGGACCACACUAUGUAUGUCUGCUUCUGAAGGACACAGAGAGUGGUGCCGCUCUGUCGGUGUUUAAGAGAGGACAUCUGUCGAACGUCUCUGAGUGUGCCUUGAUUCCUGACAAGAAAAGGCUGAUUACUGCGUCAUGGGACAAGACCCUAAAUGCAUGGGACCUGGAGACUGGCAAGAUCAUUGUGAGUCAAUCAAAUAAUGAAUCUAAUCCUCACAACGUGUUGUUGAGACCUCUCUGUUACAUCUCUCUCUCUCUCUCUGUCUCUCUCUCUCUCUCUCUCUCUCUGUCUCUCUCUGUCUCUCUCUGUGUCUGUCUCUCUCUGUCUCUGUCUCUCUCUCUCUGUCUCUCUCUCGCUCUCUCUCUCUCUCUCUCUUUAACACUAAUGAACAUCUGAGACCAUGGGGGAUUUUCACAAAAAAAAAAAAAAAAGGGCCAAGGAUGUUUGACGAAUCGUAACGCCGGAGAGGGCGUAUAAGUGACAUAGCCUGUGUUGGUGUGUGUUGGUGUGUGUUACAUAGUGGACUGCAGCUCAGGGUGGUCUCCUGACGUCAUGUAGCGUCUCGGAGGACGGGAAGUACGUCGUCUCCUCCUCAGACCUGGAGAACGCAAUCUGCCUGACCUCAGCUGAUACAGGGGAGAGGCUCUUCCACGUCAAAGGUACGUCCUAAAGUCAUUCACUGACCUCAGCUGAUACAGGGGAGAGGCUCUUCCACGUCAAAGGUACGUCCCUAAAGUCAUUCAACAAGUAGUUAUCGAUCUCUAUAUCGAUUUUUCCAUUGAGCUACGCUAAUGCUAAGCUAGGCUCGCGCUAUCAUAAGCUAUCACAUGGUAAAGGUAGAGUCAGCGAUGCUGGGAGUAAACAGCACCGUCGAGCAGAUUUCUGCAACAACUCAAGUAGUAUGAAUCACCAGGCUGAACUUCUCUGCUGUUUUGGGUCCUGAAGCAGUGUGAAGAACGCCCCUCAACAAUGCACUGAUGUAACAUACCUGUAUACCACAGGUAAUACCUGUAUACCACAGGUAAUACCUGUAUACCACAGGUAAUACCUGUAUACCACAGGUAUGACAAAACAAUGCACUGAUAUUUUAUGUGUGUGUGUGUGUGUGUGUGCAACGUCUUGCAUCGCUCUCAUCUACAAUAUCCUGCUGCUCCUGGUAACGUCAGGUCACCGAGUCUCAGUUUAAGUCAUGUCUAAUGGUAACGUCAGGUCACUGAGUCUGUUUAAGUCAUGUCUAAUGGUAACGUCAGGUCACUGAGUCUGUUUAAGUCAUGUCUAAUGGUAACGUCAGGUCACUGAGUCUCAGUUUAAGUCAUGUCUAAUGGUAACGUCAGGUCACCGAGUCUCAGUUUAAGUCAUGUCUAAUGGUAACGACAGGUCACUGAGUCUCAGUUUAAGUCAUGUUUAAUGGUAACGUCAGGUCACCGAGUCUCAGUUUAAGUCAUGUCCAAUGGUAACGUCAGGUUACCGAGUCUCAGUUUAAGUCAUGUCUAAUGGUAACGUCAGGUCACCGAGUCUCAGUUUAAGUCGUGUCUAAUGGUAACAUCAGGUCACCGAGUCUCAGUUUAAGUCAUGUCUAAUGGUAACGUCAGGUCACCGAGUCUCAGUUUAAGUCAUGUCUAAUGGUAACGUCAGGUCACCGAGUCUCAGUUUAAGUCAUGUCUAAUGGUAACGUCAGGACACUGAGUCUCAGUUUAAGUCAUGUCUAAUGGUAACGUCAGGUCACUGAGUCUCAGUUUAAGUCAUGUCUAAUGGUAACGUCAGGUCACUGAGU
rnacentral:lncRNA from 8 species